UACGUAGGGGGCUAGCGUUGUCCGGAUUUAUUGGGCGUAAAGAGCGUGUAGGCGGCCAGGUAGGUCUGGUGUGAAAACUCGAGGCUCAACCUCGAGAUGUCGGCGGAAACCAUCUGGCUAGAGUCCGGAAGAGGAGAGUGGAAUUCCUGGUGUAGCGGUGAAAUGCGCAGAUAUCAGGAAGAACACCUAUGGCGAAGGCAGCUCUCUGGGACGGUACUGACGCUGAGACGCGAAAGCGUGGGGAGCGAACAGG
rnacentral:rRNA from 1 species